GAACGCCGGCGGCGUGCCUAAUACAUGCAAGUAGAACGCUGAAGGAGGAGCUUGCUCUUCUGGAAGAGUUGCGAACGGGUGAGUAACGCGUAGGUAACCUGCCUGGUAGCGGGGGAUAACUAUUGGAAACGAUAGCUAAUACCGCAUAAGAUUGAAUAUCGCAUGAUAAUUGAUUAAAAGAUGCAAAUGCAUCACUACCAGAUGGACCUGCGUUGUAUUAGCUAGUAGGUGAGGUAACGGCUCACCUAGGCGACGAUACAUAGCCGACCUGAGCGGGUGAUCGGCCACACUGGGACUGAGACACGGCCCAGACUCCUACGGGAGGCAGCAGUAGGGAAUCUUCGGCAAUGGGGGCAACCCUGACCGAGCAACGCCGCGUGAGUGAAGAAGGUUUUCGGAUCGUAAAGCUCUGUUGUAAGAGAAGAACGAGUGUGAGAGUGGAAAGUUCACACUGUGACGGUAUCUUACCAGAAAGGGACGGCUAACUACGUGCCAGCAGCCGCGGUAAUACGUAGGUCCCGAGCGUUGUCCGGAUUUAUUGGGCGUAAAGCGAGCGCAGGCGGUUAGAUAAGUCUGAAGUUAAAGGCUGUGGCUUAACCAUAGUACGCUUUGGAAACUGUUUAACUUGAGUGCAGAAGGGGAGAGUGGAAUUCCAUGUGUAGCGGUGAAAUGCGUAGAUAUAUGGAGGAACACCGGUGGCGAAAGCGGCUCUCUGGUCUGUAACUGACGCUGAGGCUCGAAAGCGUGGGGAGCGAACAGGAUUAGAUACCCUGGUAGUCCACGCCGUAAACGAUGAGUGCUAGGUGUUAGGCCCUUUCUCGGGGCUUAGUGCCGUAGCUAACGCAUUAAGCACUCC
rnacentral:rRNA from 1 species